CCUUCUCAUGUAGUAGGGUCAUGUACCAUGGUACCUUCCACCCUGUGUUCUCAGCCAUGGUGGUACUGGUGAAGUUAGACUUGUUCUGAUGUCCCUCUCUAGCUGCUCCGGGGUCAUCGCCAUGUAAAGUCCAAAGACGAAAAAUAACCCUGAAGGAAGGAGAGAUGACUAGAAAGAAUCCGGUUGACCGCUUUAUGUGUGGAUUAAUUGUUGGAGUAGAGGACCUUGUGCAUUUCAGGUAAAAUAACAACUCAAUGUUUAUAUCCCAGGACAAAUAAGCUAGCUAAAUUGCCAUAAAUGUUUAAUGCUUUUCGACCUGUCCCCAAAUUAAUAUAAUUGGUUGAGAGUUUGUUUUGAUAUUUCGUGUCAUGAUCGCGUUUGGAGUGAGGGGACAAAAUCAAUUUGCGCACGAUGGCGGAUGCACUCGCGCGUCUGGUUUGGGCAUGGUGUAAUGGUUGUUUAAAUCUAAAAUUAGCUUGACGCGUUUUCGGUUAUCCUACAGACUCAGCGCAUUGCUACAUGGUACUUGAAGGAGAAUUGGAGGUUAAUAAUUUAUUACACUGUUUAGAUUGAGCACAUUUAAACGAAAGCUAAACUUCGUCAUGACGAUAUAAACGGAUGGAUGUGUUCCAGAUGAGGAAGGCCAUCUAUUGGCUGAUUUGGCGGCCUGGAGUGUAGGUCAUUGUUUUAUGAAAUGUGAUCCCAUAUCUCCAGUGACAAUAAUUAUGUAGCUAUGAAGUGUUCUCACACGAUUUCCUGAUUUUCACAACUUGGAAGUUACAUCAUGGGGAAAUGUUGUAUUUUACCCACUGAUAGAACAUAAACAUUCACCAAAUAAACAGGAGUUAUGUUUUUUAUUUCUGGGGGUGGAUUAUCCCUUUAAACUGUAUAGUGGUUAAUCAGUAGCCUUGCCUCAACCUAGUCAAAAUGCGAACCAAGGCAGGGUAAAAGAUGCAUUAUUUGUGUAUGUAGAAAUAAGUAACAAACAAGGACAUAUUUUAAUCUUGAUGAAUGACUAUUUGUAAUUUUACGACAAGCUAAGAUGUUCUUUCCCUUUAGUUUACAAUGUCUGUUCUGCCUCUAGUGACUCAGCUGCCUUCUGAUGUUUAUUAAGUCUGCUAAACUCACUCCAAUUUUCACUGUUAUUGAAAUAUGAAAAACUAUGGCCUUGUCAUUAUUAAUUCAUGUUUGCUUGUUGGUAACUUAGACAGGCAAGGGCCUCCAAGUGGCGCAGCGUCUAAAAAUGCUGACCAGACCGCACGCGCGCAUCUGAGUGCACCAUCGCCCGCAUGUUGAUUUUGUCCCCCCACACCAGAGAUCAGGACAGCAGGUUGAUUUUGUCCCCCCACACCAGAGAUCAAAACACACAGGUUGAUUUUGUCCCCCCACACCAGAGAUCAGGACAGCAGGUUGAUUUUGUCCCCCCACACCAGAGAUCAGGACAGCAGGUUGAUUUUGUCCCCCCACACCAGAGAUCAAAACACGCAGGUUGAUUUUGUCCCCCCACACCAGAGAUCAGGACAGCAGGUUGAUUUUGUCCCCCCACACCAGAGAUCAGAACACGCAGGUUGAUUUUGUCCCCCCACACCAGAGAUCAGGACAGCAGGUUGAUUUUGUCCCCCCCACACCAGAGAUCAAAACACACAGGUUGAUUUUGUCCCCCCACACCAGAGAUCAGAACACGCAGGUUGAUUUUGU
rnacentral:lncRNA from 1 species